rnacentral:rRNA from 1 species
UACGAAGGGGGCUAGCGUUGCUCGGAAUCACUGGGCGUAAAGCGCACGUAGGCGGCUUUUUAAGUCAGGGGUGAAAUCCUGGAGCUCAACUCCAGAACUGCCUUUGAUACUGAGAAGCUUGAGUCUGGGAGAGGUGAGUGGAACUGCGAGUGUAGAGGUGAAAUUCGUAGAUAUUCGCAAGAACACCAGUGGCGAAGGCGGCUCACUGGCCCGGUACUGACGCUGAGGUGCGAAAGCGUGGGGAGCGAACAGG